rnacentral:rRNA from 1 species
UACGUAGGGUGCGAGCGUUAAUCGGAAUUACUGGGCGUAAAGCGUGCGCAGGCGGUUCGCCAAGUCAGGUGUGAAAUCCCCGGGCUUAACCUGGGAAUUGCGCUUGAAACUAGCGGGCUUGAGUGCGGCAGAGGGGGGUGGAAUUCCACGUGUAGCAGUGAAAUGCGUAGAGAUGUGGAGGAACACCGAUGGCGAAGGCAGCCCCCUGGGUCGACACUGACGCUCAUGCACGAAAGCGUGGGGCGCAAACAGG